GGCCCUGAGAUGCUCUAUUUCUUUGUGUAGCCCUAUCGCUCCUUCCCUCUCUCCUCCCCUUCUUUCUCCACUCUAUAUCCAACUCUAGCCUCAAGCACCAGCCUAUAGACAUGUGGAGAAUAAUAUUUUCUUGCCAUAAGGUAAAACUCUAGAAAAACAUCAUCUGUGCUCCAAGGGGUAGGAUCCAGACUACCUGUGCAGGACAACUCUCUGCAUGCAUACAGUGAAUUUUGGCUCUGAGACCAUCUGUGAGGCCAAAAGUAGGGAGCCUGGUCUCACAGAAAGACAGGAGAGGAAGUUUUACAGUGUCAACAGGGUUGUAUGUGUCCAUCAGCACAGGAGUCUCUGGCAACAAAAGAAGAAGAUUCCAAAUCUUACAAAUAUUUUGAAGAAACCUGCAGAAAGAGCAAGACUAUGACAGCAUGGAACAAAGAUGCCUGAUCUCCAGAGUUUUCAGAAUGAUCACCAGUUCUUGUCAACUAUUGCAAAAGUAGGAAGGAUAUAAUUUUGACUGACAAUGAUGAACAGAACAGUUGAAAGAACAAAAGACAUUUUCAGCACUUCAGCACACCUCCCUUAUUCACAGCACCAAAAACAAGUGCUGUGAUUCACAUAUGACAUGCGGAAUUCCUGAGAUUAACUCCUCCAGUUUAAUUUUCCCAGAGGCUUUGGUCUAUACCAAUUACUUAACAUUCCUUCUCUUAACAGGUCUAAUUGAAGAAAACCUGUGGGUCGAGGCAGUAAUCAAAACCUUCUGGUGAAUUGCCCAGUUCACCUCUUUCAGCCAAGAUGUACUUCUUUACAUCCAGGGCAUGAAGCCAAUGCCUUGUUCUGCUGUUUUUAAUGGCCAGUAUCAUCACCAUUACUGAAAGUCCUUGAUGGAGAGACAGAGAUCAGGGACUCUGGAGUUCACUAAAACCUCCCCAAAACUUUCAGUAGGCAAAGGCACAAAGAAGGUGUUUUCCCUGCCUUUUUAAAGGUGAGGAAGUAAAGAAGCUCAUGGGGUCAUUUUCUUAGUGAAGGAGCUCAUAGGACCACUUUCAUUUGUUUCUGCUCCAAAUCAUCAAGUGCCCCUGCACCCUGAGUGCCCUGUAUGUGACCUGAAACAAGUAAUUUAAUCCAUCUGUGCUUUGCUUCCACAACUAUAAACUGGAGAUAAUCCUUCUCCACUUCUGCAGGCAGCCUGGAAGAUAAAUUCGUUAAUUCUUGGGAGCUGCUCAAUACUUUGACAAAUUGGGCUCUCUGCAUGCAAGCACUUAUAAAAAAUUUCUGCUCCUGAAGCAACACUUCUUCUAUCUGACAGCUGAAAGAUGUAGGUUUGAACAUUCUAAUCCACUAGGCCUUAAGACUUUAAUCCUCCAAAGUCACCCUAGUGAUUAUUAUGCCUGGUUGAGCAUCAGAACUGAACAAACAAAUGCUGAAUAAAGUCAGUCUGCCAAAAGAUUUCACUUCAGAUAUUUAGGUUUUGUUUGGGUUCUCCCCCUCCCCACCUCAGGCUGAAGAAAAAAAAAAAAAAAAGGAAAACAAGCUGAUAGAAUAUUAAGACAGCUGCCAGGCUUGGUUUUUACCACAGAUACCAUGAAGCAGCAGCAUGGAGCUCAAACCCCAAAUAUCUUGCUCUGGUGGAGGAGGCAGGAAAAAAAAUAAGAACAAAGAGAAGGAAAGAAGAGCACUUGAGGACAGAGAAAAAUGUGCUAACAGUGGUUUUGGUCAGGUCCAUUAAAAUACUGUGGAUCUUCACAGGCAGUGAGUUCUAGGACAAGGCUGGUGUGUGGGUGACAUUAGUUGUCACAGCAUAUAUAGAGCAGGCACCAGAACCACAUUGGUGUUGUGUUUCU